UACAGAGGGUGCGAGCGUUGUCCGGAAUCACUGGGCGUAAAGCGCGCGCAGGCGGCUUUCUAAGUCCGUCGGUGAAAGACCGGGGCUCAACCCCGUGUCAGCCAUGGAUACUGGGAGGCUGGAGACAGGUAGAGGCAAGCGGAAUUCCGGGUGUAGCGGUGGAAUGCGUAGAUAUCCGGAAGAACACCGGAGGCGAAGGCGGCUUGCUGGACCUGGUCUGACGCUGAGGCGCGAAAGCGUGGGGAGCGAACAGG
rnacentral:rRNA from 1 species